rnacentral:rRNA from 1 species
CCAAUAGCGUAUAUUAAAGUUGUUGCAGUUAAAAGGCUCGUAGUUGAAUUUCGGGAUCAAUUAAUUGGUCGUGCCUCUGGUACGUACUGAUUUUAUUGGUUUCUCCCUUCUGACGAACCAUGAUGUCAUUAAUUUGAUGUCGUGGAGAAUCAGGACUGUUACUUUGAAAAAAUUAGAGUGUUUAAAGCAAGCUAACGCUUGAAUACAUUAGCAUGGAAUAAUGAAAUAGGACGUUUGACCCUAUUUUGUUGGUUUCUAGGAUCGACGUAAUGAUUAAUAGGGAUAGUUGGGGGCAUUAGUAUUCAAUUGUCAGAGGUGAAAUUCUUGGAUUUAUUGAAGACUAACUACUGCGAAAGCAUUUGCCAAGGAUGUUUUCAUUAAUCAAGAACGAAAGUUAGGGGAUCGAAGACGAUCAGAUACCGUCGUAGUCUUAACCAUAAACUAUGCCGACUAGGGAUCGGAUGAUGUUAAUUUUUUAAUGACUCAUUCGGCGCCUUACG